GACGAACGCUGGCGGCGUGCUUAACACAUGCAAGUCGAACGGAAAGGCCCUGCUUUUGUGGGGUGCUCGAGUGGCGAACGGGUGAGUAACACGUGAGUAACCUGCCCUUGACUUUGGGAUAACUUCAGGAAACUGGGGCUAAUACCGGAUAGGAGCACCUGCUGCAUGGUGGGGGUUGGAAAGGUUCGGCGGUUGGGGAUGGACUCGCGGCUGAUCAGCUUGUGGGUGGGGUAGUGGCUUACCAAGGCUUUGACGGGUAGCCGGCCUGAGAGGGUGACCGGCCACAUUGUGACUGGGAUACCGCCCGGACUCCUACGGGAGGCAGCAGUGGGGAUUAUUGCACAAUGGGCGGAAGCCUGAUGCAGCAACGCCGCGUCCUGGAUGACGGCCUUCGGGUUGGAAACCGCGUUCGCCUGGGACGAAGCGUGAGUGACGGUAAUGUGUAAAGAAGCAUCGGCUAACUACGUG
rnacentral:rRNA from 1 species